rnacentral:rRNA from 1 species
GAUCAAGCGUUUUAAGAGCGUCCAGGGGAUGCCUUGGCGCCAAGUGACGAUGAAGGACGUAGUUGGUUGCGAUAAGCGACGGUUAGCCGCCAACAGGCUUUGAUCCGUUGAUUUCCGAAUUGGACAACCAAACGGUGGAAACACACGUUACCGCCCCGUUAAACGGGCGGGGGUAACCGGGAGAACUGAAACAUCUUAGUACCCCGAGGAAAAGAAAGCGAAGCGAUUCCCUGAGUAGCGGCGAGCGAAACGGGAACAGCCUAAACCGAGCAGGUGUCAAGCCCGCAGGCGUUGCCUGUUCGGUGUCGUGGGAUUCGAUUGGGCGGGGUUGCGGACCCGCCGGGAAGUUACAAAAGUUCAGUCUAGGCGAAGGGUCUGGGAAGGCCCGCCACAGAAGGUGAGAGCCCUGUAGCCGAAAGAUUGCACCCUUCCUGGGUCGAACUCCCAAGUAACGCGGGACACGAGAAACCCUGCGUGAAUCUGGGUGGACCAUCACCUAAGGCUAAAUACUACUUGGCGACCGAUAGUGAACUAGUACCGUGAGGGAAAGGUGAAAAGAACCCCUGUUAGGGGAGUUUAAAGAACCUGAAACUGGACGCUUACAAUUUGUGGGAGCCCUAUGCCAGCAAUGGCACGGGUGACCGCGCACCUUUUGCAUAAUGAGCCGGCGAGUUAUUGCGUGUGGCAAGGUUAAACCUGAAAGGUGAAGCCGAAGCGAAAGCGAGUCUGAAUAGGGCGUUCAGUCGCACGUUAUAAACCCGAAGCUGAGUGAUCUAUCCAUGGCCAGGAUAAAGCGAAGGUAACACUUCGUGGCGGUCCGAACCAGUAGACGUUAAAAAGUCUUUGGAUGAGCUGUGGAUAGGGGUGAAAGGCCAACCAAACUCAGCAAUAGCUGGUUCUCCCCGAAAUAUAUCUAGGUAUAGCCUCAUGUAAUACACGGCGGCCGUAGGGCGCUGGAUGGACUAGGGGCCCCACCAGGCUACCAAACCCAACCAAUCUUCGAAGACCGUCGUGCGUAUCAUGGGAGUCAGAACAUGGGUGAUAAGAUCCAUGCUCGAGAGGGAAACAGCCCAGAUCGUCAGCUAAGGUCCCCAAGAACAGGCUAAGUGGAGAAGGCUGUGGGAAUGCACAGACAGCCAGGAGGUUGGCUUAGAAGCAGCCAUCCUUUAAAGAAAGCGUAAUAGCUCACUGGUUAAGCGCGCCUGCGCCGAAGAUUCAACGGGGCUUAAGCCUGUCACCGAAGCUACGAAUUUUACGUAUCGUUCGCGAUAUGUAAAGUGGUAGGGGAGCGUUCCAUGCUGGAUGAAGGUCGACCGCGAGGACGGCUGGACGGCAUGGAAGUGAGAAUGUCGGCAUGAGUAACGAUAAACCGGGUGAGAAACCCGGUCGCCGAAAACCCAAGGUUUCCUGGGGAAGGUUAAUCCGCUCAGGGUUAGUCGGUACCUAAGGCGAGGCCGAAAGGCGUAGCCGAUGGAAAACAGGUUAAUAUUCCUGUACCGCCACCGUUGCGUUAUCACGAUGGGGUGACGCGGCAGGGUAGGUCAGCCAGGCGAUGGUUGUCCUGGUUUGAGAGCGUAGGGGGAUCCUCCAGGCAAAUCCGGAGGAUCACUACCCCGAGGCGAUCAUGGCCCCUAGCCUACGGGCGAAGGGUAACUGAUUGAUCCCAUACCGCCAAGAAAAACCUCUAAGGAGUGGCGGUGGCGACCGUACCGUAAACCGACACAGGUGGGUGAGGAGAGUAUCCUAAGGCGCUUGAGAUAACCCUGGUUAAGGAACUCGGCAAAUUAACUCCGUAACUUCGGGAAAAGGAGUGCCCUUUGUACGUGAAGAGGUUUACCCUCGGAGCGGAAGGGGGUCGCAGCGAAGCGGUAGCCGCGACUGUUUACUAAAAACACAGGUCUCUGCUAAGUCGUAAGACGAAGUAUAGGGACUGACGCCUGCCCGGUGCCGGAAGGUUAAAAGGAGGGGUUAGCCGCAAGGCGAAGCUUCGAAUUGAAGCCCCGGUAAACGGCGGCCGUAACUAUAACGGUCCUAAGGUAGCGAAAUUCCUUGUCGGGUAAGUUCCGACCUGCACGAAUGGCGUAACGAUGGCUAUACUGUCUCAACCAGGGACUCAGUGAAAUUAGAUUUCCGGGGAAAGUGCCGGAUACCCGCGACUGGACGGAAAGACCCCGUGCACCUUAACUAUAACCUGAUACUGGAGUUUGGGUCCUCAUGUGUAGGAUAGGUGGGAGACUUUGAAGCUGGAACGCUAGUUUCGGUGGAGUCAACCUUGAAAUACCACCCUUGAUGUCUUGACCUUCUAACCUGGCGGCCUGAAUCGGCCGUAGGGACACUGUCAGGCGGGUAGUUUGACUGGGGCGGUCGCCUCCAAAAAAGUAACGGAGGCGCGCGAAGGUUCUCUCAGGCUGAUUGGAAACCAGCCGACGAGUGUAAAGGCAAAAGAGAGCUUAACUGCAAGACCCACAAGUCGAGCAGAUACGAAAGUAGGCCUUAGUGAUCCGGUGGUCCCGCAUGGAAGGGCCAUCGCUCAACGGAUAAAAGGUACGCCGGGGAUAACAGGCUGAUCGCGUCCAAGAGUCCAUAUCGACGACGCGGUUUGGCACCUCGAUGUCGGCUCAUCGCAUCCUGGGGCUGGAGAAGGUCCCAAGGGUUGGUCUGUUCGCCCAUUAAAGCGGUACGUGAGCUGGGUUUAGAACGUCGCGAGACAGUUCGGUCCCUAUCCAUCGUGGGCGUCGGAUAUUUGAGAGGAGCUGCCCCUAGUACGAGAGGACCGGGGUGGACUGGCCUCUAGUGUUCCGGUUGUCACGCCAGUGGCAUCGCCGGGUAGCUACGCCGGGAAAGGAUAACCGCUGAAAGCAUCUAAGCGGGAAGCCAACCUCAAGAUUAGAUAUCCCAAUUAAGCUCCUUGAAGACUACAAGGUUGAUAGGUCGGAAGUGUAAACGUGGCAACAUGUUAGCUGACCGAUACUAAUAAGCUGAUCGGCUUGAUCUA